UCCAUUGUUGCGUUUUUCAUACGUACGUAUACGCACGUCAAACUUUAAAUCCGUUUAAAUGUUACCUAUGAAAUAACCAAAUAAAUAAGGCAACAUAAUUUAGUGUUCCGCAAGUUUUAGUAUGUGCAUUUGUUAACUAAUUUGUAAAAUAUUUAAAAAUAGAAGGAUUCAAAGUUUUACGUGCGUGUACGUGCGUAUGAAAAACGCAACAGUGGA
rnacentral:miRNA from 1 species